AAAAAUCCGGCUGAGACGGCCUGGGCCGCUGCCACGCGCGGGCGUUAUUCUCCACCCACCUGCGGCCUGAAGAUGCCUGAGGCCCGGACUCUCAGACCCCUAUUGCCCUUUGGUGCUGGAGGCCCAGCGGCAGCCUGAAGCCCAAGAGAGUGGAGCCUCGCGAAAUGAGGAACCUGGCACAAGAGACAGGAUUUCACCAUGUUGGCCGUGCUGGUCUUGAACUCCUGACCUCAAGUGAUUUGCCUGCUUUGGCCUCCCAAAGUGCUGGGAUUACAGACAUGAGUCACCAUGCCCUGCCUGCAGCUUCUUCUUGAAGUGUUCUGGACUUGGAAGAUUUGUUGAAUUACUAUGAAGUCACAUCUAAAGUUUGAAAGAGAUCGGGUCUCACUAUUUUGCCCACGCUGGUCUUGAACUCCUGUCCUCAAGCAGGAUAUCCUCCUGCCUUGGCCUCCCAAAGUUCUGGGAUUACAGUCUCGCUCUGUCGCCAGGCUGGAGUGCACGCUGGAGCGCGAUCUUGUCUUACUACAACCUCUGCCUCCCAGAUUCAAGCGAUUUUCCUGCCUCAGCCUCCCGAGUAGCUGGGACUACAGGGACGCACCACCAUGCCCAGCUAAUUUUUGUAUUUUUAGUAGAGAUGUGGUUUCACCAUGUUGGCCAGGAUGGUCUUGAUCUCUUGACCUCGUGAUCCACCCGCCUCGGCUUCCCAAAGUGCUGGGAUUAUAGGCAUAAGCCACCACGCCUGGCCUGAAAUUAUUUUUCUAUACAGUUCUUAGAGGAAGUGUUUGGGUCACCUACAUAGGCAUGUAGUUCUUGACACUGGUUACUAGAGGAUUUAUAGAGGAUGUUCAUAUAUUCAACAAGCAUUUGUUGAAUACCUAUUAGGUGCUAGCCAUGGAAAUAUGGGAUUGAAAAAAACAGACAAAAAUCCCUAAUCUCUCUUACAAUCUAGUGAGGACAAUCAGACAGUACACAAAAUAAGCAUAAUAUAUAGUAAUCAUGUGGUAGUAAGUUCUAUAGAGCAAAAACAAGUUUAAAGAAGGAGGUUGGGGGGAGUGUUGAGAUGCAUAAGGUUUGCAGUUAUAAAUGUGGUGGUUAGGGAAUCAUUUGCUGAAAAAUGAACAUUGAGCAAAAACCUGAAGGAUGUUAAAGGAAUAAGAUACAUGUAAUCCAGAUGAAAGUUUUUUGGAUAAAGGAAAGAGCAAUUGCUAAAUCCCUGAGGUGGGAGUGGGCUGUUCAUAAGACAGCAAAGCAGCCAGGGUAGCUGAGUGAUUGACAGCGGAAGAUGGAAAAUGGGGAAUAGUUGGUGUAGGACCUAGUUGUGAGGAUAUUGACUUUGUUUUUUUUCCAAGACAGAGCUGUGCUCUGUCGCCCAGGCUAGAGUGCAGUGGCAUGAUCUUGGCUCACUGCAAUCUCCGCCUCCCGGGUUCAAGCAAUGCUCCUGCCUUAGCCUCCCCAGUAGCUGGGAUUACAGGCACCUGCCACCAUGUCCAAUUAAUUUUUGUAUUUUUAGUAGAGAUGGGGUUUCGCCAUGUUAGCCAGGCUGGUCUUGGACUCCUGACCUCAAGUGAUCUGCCCGCCUCAGCCUCCCAAAGUGCUGGGAUUACAGGCGUGAGCCACCAUGCCCACCCUAGGAUAUUUACUUUUAUUUUGAAUAAGGAUGCCACUGGAGGCCAGACGUGGUGGCUAACGC
ensembl:lncRNA novel transcript